rnacentral:rRNA from 1 species
UACGGGGGGGGCAAGCGUUGUUCGGAAUUACUGGGCGUAAAGGGCGCGUAGGCGGCUUACUAAGUCGGACGUGAAAUCCCUCGGCUCAACCGAGGAACUGCGUCCGAUACUGGCAGGCUGGAAUCCGGGAGAGGGAUGUGGAAUUCCAGGUGUAGCGGUGAAAUGCGUAGAUAUCUGGAGGAACACCGGUGGCGAAGGCGGCAUCCUGGACCGACACUGACACUGAGGAGCGAAAGCCAGGGGAGCAAACGGG